CUCACAGCUAUUGGGUCACUGAUUCCCUGAUUUCUCUAAAACCAAUUAUGUAGGGCCAUAAAGGGUCUUGAAAGGACUCUAACUUUUACUCCAAGUGAGAUGGGAAACCGCUGAUGGGAAAUGGGUAGUAGAACCACAGGAUGUGACUGAGCAUUUUUAGGGGAUCACACUGGCUUUCCUGCAAAGAAUAGGCUGUACAAAGUUAAGAGUACAAUCAGGAGACUUGGUAGGGAGGUGGACGUAAUCAAUAAUCCAGGUUAAGAAAUGUUGGUGUCUCGGGUCAAGAUGCUAACUGCAGAUAUGGUUGGAUUAUGGCUACAUUUGGAAUUAACUUCCCACCAUCAUUUCUAGCGCCUUAAUUCAUGUAGUUCUUUAGUGCAAUUUCUAACUUAAUAUCUAUCCCAGCAUAUAAUAAUUUUUGUAUAUAUAUUAGUCUACUCCAGACAGAAAUUUGUCAAAAAGCAGGACAUCCUCUUAUUAUCCCCUUGUAUUUGUAACUUUCUAGCAUACUAAGGGUACCCAAUGAAUAUUUGUGAAAUGAGUGCAUGGAUACGCAUCCUUACAGAUACAAAUUAGCAUUGUUUUUUAAAAAGCUUCAAAACCUAAGAGGGCCAUGUAAACCAUAUAAACCAAGAAUUACUUGGAAAAUAUUUCUAAAGAAGUGACCCAACAGUGUGGUGGGAGCAAAUCAGAAGUAAUGGCAAAUGUUAGAGUUUUUAAAUAUUUAUAGCCAAUUUGUAUUCUUAAGAGUAUUUCAUCUAUUUAUAUUACUGAUCUGCAUGAAGUAAACAGAUGCUUCCAGUAGCACAUACUUCUACAACUAGUUGUUUCUUGACCAACACAUUUUAGUAAAAUGACAGUUUUAGUGCUUGUUUUAAUGAUGAUAUUGCAAAAUAAUUAUAGUAACCAUUAUUUAUGUGUUUAUGAGUGUGUGCAUUUGUGUAUCAUGAAUGAACUAGAGCAAAGAAGCCCAUAAUAUUGUCCACUAAAGUGGUCCAUAGGCCAAACUAGCCAAAAUGGAAUUGUAAAUUCCAUUUUAAUAUUUGAUAAACCAAUACCCUAUAUCUAUAUUAUAUACACAAAUGUUUAUAAGUAUAAAUCUGCAAGAUUUAUCUAAUAAAUUAGAGUUGCGAUCCUAAUUUUUUCAGCUAAAUGUAAUUUUCCAAGCAAUGGUUAAACCUAACUUAACAAAAUAUCUACACCGAAAUAUGACCCUUUUCUGGUGAUAGUAACCUUCAUUAUCAUCAUUUAUUCUAGACCUUCAAGGAAUGUGUUGACCAUUAAGUCCCAAUAUUUUUAUACUCUAUUGUGAUCCUCUGAAAAUGGAUCAUUCUGAGUGAGCACACCAAAUGAAGUUUUUUAAAAGAGGAGGGGAGGUUUUGCUGUCAUCAAACUGACCUAAUACUGGGAGGACAAUGAACACUUGGUCUAAAUGGAAGAAGCAGAAAAAUAAACACUAUCGUGUCAAGAACAAUCAAUCAACCUUUUGAACAUCUUCUAGAGUGAUUUGACUGGUGCACCAGCAAGUUAGAUAAACUUUGAGUCACCCAACUAGCAAUGAUCACACUUAUGUUCCUUGUGACAUUAGUGCUAGUGCACAGCCAAGCAUACAGGAAGACAGAGCACUGUCUCACAACCUGUGGAUUUGAUUUCUGAGAGGUCAUGACAAAGAUGCAAAAUCCAAAAGGGUAAACUUCGACUCCAGAUCUCACUUACAUGCAACUUGAAUGGCAAGUGCCGCCCUAGAAACAGGCUGGAUGCUCCUGGAACGUGGGCUGGGAUGUGUUCUGUGCCACAUUCCCGAGCCUUCUUUCUGGCUGGCAUUGAUAAAAGUCCUUUUUAAGGCCUACCCUGUUUCUUUGGGCCUGGAAGCAAGAAUGUUUAUAGACAUCCUGGUGAGAGAAGGCUGUUUGAUGAAUGCAGGAGACUGCGGCUAGGUGUCAGCACUUGGAAAAUGAGGCAAGGACAUGAGGUAUUAAUAUUGUCAAUGAUCUCUUGACAGGAAAACAGAUACUGCAUUCACUGUCAGAUUUAAAUAGACAUCAAGUGCAUUAACGACAAAAGGGCAGACUUCAAACAAAGGGGCUGUGUGGUGAAGAGCCGAGCUAGUCUCUGUGCUGGCAACAGCCUGAUCUGAAAAGACACCAUCAGGGUUGCAGACAGGCCCAGGAUUGUGUGCGGUGACAGAAAACAGAGAUACUGACAGAGAUACCAGCGCCAUAUUAUGCCAAGGAUAUUCUAACGCUGCCUGCGGCUCUAACGAAAGCUGACAUCACUCCCCAUCACUUGGGGUCGUCUCUGCCUGCCCCUGCAGAACAUCUCUCCCCAGACAUCAUUACAAAACUCACUGUGGCUGCAAAGGUCCUGGCAGUUCUGUUCUGCUGGAGUGGUGGGGUCAAGGGGCCUAAGGAUAACCUCAGUCAAUCUAAAUUUGGAAUUUGCAGGAGGAGCACGCCCGACCCCACUGAUAUCUUGGCUACUUGAGGUGAUCAGAAGGCCAUUGUGUGAGGAGCUGUCACCUUGAAUAAACUCCCAGAAAGGACGGCACUCAGUCUGUGGGCUGCUCCAGGAAGGCGUGGGGACGGCCUGGCAGUUGAAAAUGAGAUCCAGCUGCUGGUGCUCGCCCGGGGAGAAAGGUGCUCUGGCUAGCAAUGCUAAGAAUCGGCUGAAAUUGUCAAACUCAAACCAUCUCCAGCAGCUGAAAUUAAGCGAGAAUUGCCUCUGUGAGUCUCCUCCCAGAGCUCAGAGUUGGGAUGUGAUUACCCCCAAUAUGUGACUUUUGUGUUCAAAAAUAAAUAAAUAAAAUUAACCAGGAAAAGCAAACAUGCACGAAACAGCACAGUCCCAUGUGUGGCCACAGGCCUUUAUUUAUCAUGAAGGUUAUUUGUAAAAUAUGAGGCUCUGCUCGUAAAUUAAGUGAGGUGGCAUUGUGUUUCUCUCUCCCUCGUCCUCCCCACAGCCCUUCUUCUCCCGCCAUGGCAACUGCCAUCAACUGUGAAAAUUACGGAGGGAACAGUUUGCUUGCAAAGAACAUUUUGAUGGGGAGGCACUCCGAGGCUGGAAUUUGGGAACCCGCUGGUUUGUGACUCAGUAGGCAAUGGUUUCUCUACACAUCUGCAACGGAUUCAUUUGUUUCUAUCUCUUCAAACUACAACUUCUUGGGACUGGAGGGGGAACAACACAUUUAAUGGCAUAUGCAGUGUUUUUAAUUAAAAGAUCUGGCUUUGGCCAUAGUAAGUAAAGCAGGCUUGCCCUGUGUCAGGCUGACGUGCAGCUGUCUGUGUGGGGUUUCUUUUCGAA
rnacentral:lncRNA from 1 species